rnacentral:miRNA from 1 species
UAGUUUUUGUGUUUGAGAAAGGGUCACACUAUGUAGUCCAGGCUGGCCUUGAAUUGCUAUGUAGCCUGGGCUGUCCUCAAAACUCAUGACCCUCCAGGAUC